UAGCUCGGGUUUCUCUUCAUUCACGCACAAAUCUUUCGCCUUUUACUAAAGAUUUCUCUGGAGAGGAACGUUGAUGAGUUUAACAUUGGCAGUUGUUUUGUCUUGUUCAAAUUUUUAGGU